rnacentral:rRNA from 1 species
GACGAACGCUGGCGGCGUGCCUAAUACAUGCAAGUAGGACGCUGAAGAGAGGAGCUUGCUCUUCUUGGAUGAGUUGCGAACGGGUGAGUAACGCGUAGGUAACCUGCCUUGUAGCGGGGGAUAACUAUUGGAAACGAUAGCUAAUACCGCAUAACAAUGGAUGACACAUGUCAUUUAUUUGAAAGGGGCAAUUGCUCCACUACAAGAUGGACCUGCGUUGUAUUAGCUAGUAGGUGAGGUAAUGGCUCACCUAGGCGACGAUACAUAGCCGACCUGAGAGGGUGAUCGGCCACACUGGGACUGAGACACGGCCCAGACUCCUACGGGAGGCAGCAGUAGGGAAUCUUCGGCAAUGGGGGCAACCCUGACCGAGCAACGCCGCGUGAGUGAAGAAGGUUUUCGGAUCGUAAAGCUCUGUUGUAAGUCAAGAACGGGUGUGAGAGUGGAAAGUUCACACUGUGACGGUAGCUUACCAGAAAGAGACGGCUAACUACGUG